UACAGAGGGUGCGAGCGUUGUUCGGAAUUACUGGGCGUAAAGCGCGCGCAGGCGGCUCUUUAAGUCUGACGGUGAAAUGCCGGGGCUCAACCCCGUGCCUGCCGGAGAUACUGGGGAGCUGGAGACGAGUAGAGGCAAGCGGAAUUCCGGGUGUAGCGGUGGAAUGCGUAGAGAUCCGGAAGAACACCGGAGGCGAAGGCGGCUUGCUGGGCUCGGUCUGACGCUGAGGCGCGAAAGCGUGGGGAGCGAACAGG
rnacentral:rRNA from 1 species